UGGGGAGUACGGCCGCAAGGCUAAAACUCAAAGGAAUUGACGGGGCCCCGCACAAGCGGCGGAGCAUGCGGAUUAAUUCGAUGCAACGCGUAGAACCUUACCUGGGUUUGACAUGGAUCGGGAGUGCUCAGAGAUGGGUGUGCCUCUUUUGGGGUCGGUUCACAGGUGGUGCAUGGCUGUCGUCAGCUCGUGUCGUGAGAUGUUGGGUUAAGUCCCGCAACGAGCGCAACCCUUGUUCACUGUUGCCAGCACGUUAUGGUGGGGACUCAGUGGAGACCGCCGGGGUCAACUCGGAGGAAGGUGGGGAUGACGUCAAGUCAUCAUGCCCCUUAUGUCCAGGGCUUCACGCAUGCUACAAUGGCUGGUACAGAGAGUGGCGAGCCUGUGAGGGUGAGCGAAUCUCGGAAAGCCGGUCUCAGUUCGGAUUGGGGUCUGCAACUCGACCUCAUGAAGUCGGAGUCGCUAGUAAUCGCAGAUCAGCAACGCUGCGGUGAAUACGUUCCCGGGGCUUGUACACACCGCCCGUCAAGUCAUGAAAGUUGGUAACACCCGAAGCCGGUGGCCUAACCGUUGUGGGGGAGCCGUCGAAGGUGGGACUGGUGAUUAGGACUAAGUCGUAACAAGGUAACC
rnacentral:rRNA from 1 species